rnacentral:rRNA from 1 species
UACGUAGGUCCCGAGCGUUGUCCGGAUUUAUUGGGCGUGAAGCGAGCGCAGGUGGUUUAUUAAGUCUGGUGUAAAAGGCAGUGGCUCAACCAUUGUAUGCAUUGGAAACUGGUAGACUUGAGUGCAGGAGAGGAGAGUGGAAUUCCAUGUGUAGCGGUGAAAUGCGUAGAUAUAUGGAGGAACACCGGUGGCGAAAGCGGCUCUCUGGCCUGUAACUGACACUGAGGCUCGAAAGCGUGGGGAGCAAACAGG